ACUGCUGAGGAUUGUUUUGGAGAG
rnacentral:siRNA from 1 species